rnacentral:rRNA from 1 species
UACGGAGGGGACUAGCGUUGUUCGGAGUUACUGGGCGUAAAGCGCACGUAGGCGGCUUUGUAAGUAAGAGGUGAAAGCCCAGAGCUCAACUCUGGAAUUGCCUUUUAGACUGCAUCGCUUGAAUCAUGGAGAGGUCAGUGGAAUUCCGAGUGUAGAGGUGAAAUUCGUAGAUAUUCGGAAGAACACCAGUGGCGAAGGCGGCUCACUGGCCCGGUACUGACGCUGAGGUGCGAAAGCGUGGGGAGCAAACAGG